UCUCGAAGAGUCGAAACAAAGAGGAGAAAAGUUAGCGAAAAAUCGGUGGCGACACGCCGCGUGUCAAAUGUCAGACACAACGCGAUAAGGAUCUGAGAAGUGUCCCUCCUCCUUCUCCUUCGUACGAAGGUUGCGGAGUCCUCUAGCGUGGACUCAUUACCGGCGAGAGAGAGAGAGAGAGAGAGAGAGAGAGGCAGAGCAGGAUAGGAUGCGCAUCGGUCCGACGACGCUCUAUUAUGCCGCGAAACAAUGGUCGCCGUGGCGCGGCCGUCACGUUGCCGGGAAAUAGUUGGUCGCCGCGUUAAGGACCGGCAACAUCGCCUCUUCAUACGGCCGCCGUGUAAUGGAAUAUAAUCGGAAUAUGGCGGGGCGAGCGAGAAAUACGACGAUACGCGUCGAUCCCAUUUCCGCCGCGAGGGAGAAGAGAAUAUUUCGUGAAACGUUUCUUCCCUUGAAAUAAGGAACAAGGAACGUUUGCUUCAAUUUCGAAUUUCAAAGGAUUUUAUAUAAAGAAGGAGGAUUCAAUUUUCAAGGAUACUUUGUAUCCUUACUUCGUUCUUGGUUAAUUUAAAGAUAACCUAUAUUCAGUUGGAACGCUUUGUCGACUGACACCGCACGUUUCGCACACGCUUACUUGAUUAAUAAAUAAUGAAAGUUGGAAGAGUUUUACGAUUAUCGCGGAAAGAACGUUUUCGCCAGGCCUUUGUCGACGAUCCUGACAUCUAUGUAAUAAUAGAAGAGCUGUAAUUCGAAUAUUUGCGAAUGUUCGCGCAAGGAUUAUUGUAAUAAUCGGUGAACGGAUGAGUAUUCAUCGACGACACGUAUUCGAUCAAUCUUUCAAGACUGUUCGCUGUUGGAAAAACGACGAUAUUUGACACCACACGUUUCAUGGUAAUAAAAGAGCUAUAAUUCAAAAAUUAUUCUCAUUUAUGAAGUUAAUGUAAUCUCUUAAGAUUGGAAGCUGAUACUAUUAAUUAUCUUGAUAUUAAUGUACGUGCAAGCAUCUUAUUUUUAAAUUAAACUUGCGCAGAAAUUACGAGAAAUAGAAAUAUUUUUAUCGUACAUCGAUACGUUAGAAUUCCCUGGAUUCUGCGCAUGCGCUGGAUCCAUCAUUGUUCGGUAUAAAUAAACACGAAGGAGGGGAAAAGAAAAAUAGACGUUUCAAAUUUCAAAUUGACCAUUAAUCGGAUCCGCAUUCCUCGCAGCGCAUCGAACGGACGAACGAAGUGACUCGGGUUGCGCGAUAAUUAAUUUUCAAUCAAGUUAGCAGUCCCUAGCUAAGUAUCUUUUAAACGCUGCAAUAAAAUUAACGAUUCGCCACGUUUUAA